UGGCAGCUGCUAGAAGAGGCGACAAAACUCCAUCAUCAUUUGGAGAAUUUCAUGCUGGAUGGCAGCCAAACAGAACAAUGUAAAAGAGAGGUGGAAGAACGAGAUGAGCAGGAAAUAACACAAAAACUACAAGAAGUCAAUCAGUUUUUGCAAGCACAGGCAGCCCACCAGCAUGAAUUUGGACAAAUUGGAGACAGGAGUUGUGAUUCAGUGAGACACCAGCUGGAAGAAAGAAUUAGAGAUCUCGAGAGUGAAUUGGACAGGGU